rnacentral:tRNA from 2 species
CCGACCUUAGCUCAGUUGGUAGAGCGGAGGACUGUAGUAAUUGCAGAUCAAUCCUUAGGUCGCUGGUUCGAAUCCGGCAGGUCGGA